rnacentral:rRNA from 1 species
UACGAAGGGGGCUAGCGUUGCUCGGAAUCACUGGGCGUAAAGCGCACGUAGGCGGAUUGCUAAGUCAGGGGUGAAAUCCUGGAGCUCAACUCCAAAACUGCCUUUGAUACUGGCGACCUUGAGUCCGGGAGAGGUGAGUGGAACUGCGAGUGUAGAGGUGAAAUUCGUAGAUAUUCGCAAGAACACCAGUGGCGAAGGCGGCUCACUGGCCCGGUACUGACGCUGAGGUGCGAAAGCGUGGGGAGCAAACAGG